rnacentral:lncRNA from 1 species
UUGGCCCCACUGUGCACCACACACUCCUUUCCCAGCCCAGGGGCACGCGAACAAAAUGAGGCUCAAGCUGACCAGGCCGAGCCGGAGGAACGCUGGGGCUUGGCAGCAGAAGGGAUGGGACCAGAGAGAAGGGUGUGGAGGAGACCCCAGUGAGGGCCAGGACAUUUCAGGUAAAGAGAGGUCAUAUCUCCGUACCUCACUUCCUGACACAAACAAGUUUUCACUGUUGUCAGCAACAAAGCCCUAAUAUAGCUGCGGAAGAGAAAAACUGCAUUGCAUUUUGCCUCCUGCAAGCAUCAUCAACAGUUACUGGAGGAACGUAAUUCCAGAAAGCUUGAAAGCCGUGGUGAUGGUAAUUAUGUAUCAAAUGCCUGGUUCUAUUUCUGUUAUUAUUGUUUUGUCAUUUCUGUUUUCCCAGCGAUCUGACUGAACUCGCAGAGGGACAAAUCCAGUUUUUCUUUUUGACUUUUGUCAAACUAAAUCAGGCCUGAUAGAAAACUCAUUGCUCUCCGGGGAAACAAAGUAGGAGCCACGAAAUGUCAUUUUAACAGAGCGUGGGUUUGGUGACUGUAGGAAAGGAUUUGAGGACGCUCCUUCUGUUCGGCUUCCUAUGUCAUGAGCACAGGCUCCACGCACGCACAGACACCACGGCUCCCGGAUGCUGUGGCUCCCCGAUCGGGGCUCCUGCAGCGCCAGAAGCCCCUCCGGGAUGCUUCGAGGGGCUCCCGGUGGGUGGAGGUACGGACGCCGCUGCGGCCGCCGCCGCCAGUCCUGCUGCUGUUGUUGCUGCUGCAGUCACGUGGGAGCCCCUUUAAGUUUCCAUAGAGAGGCCUCUCUGGUGUCACAUGAUGGACAUGAUAUAAUGAAACAACAUUGUGGAGAGGAAAGCAUUAGGGGAGCCCACGGCUACAAAAACAAGUGAGUGAGAAGAGGUGGGAGGAAGAGAAACUACGCCACCUCCCCUGCAGCCGAGUGCACGCAGCAGCCUGGCGUGACAAGUGGGCGACGCCGGGGGGCAGGGAGCCGGGGUCCUUGGCCCUGGCCGGGGACCCCACCGCCCACCGCGCGGAGGACAACUUUUAGCCGGCAGCCCAGACCAGCGCGGCACCUGUCUCCGGAGUCUCCACCGCUCCUCCCGAUUCAUCCCAGGGAAAUUCUCAAGAAUACGCUCUACAAAUCUACGUGCGCAUCAUUUUCACCUCGCGUCGCGCCCGGGAGGAAGGAACGAGGCAAGGAGCUAAAGCAGCGUGCGUUCAGCCCUGGGGCAUUUUAUUAAUGCUUUUACGAGUUAGAAGAGUUGGGAUAAUUUGCCAUCUGGAGUUUCUCUGCCUUGCUGAUCUGAGCUCAGACCUGCCAAUUUACCAGAGAUAAUUGAUAACACCCUGUAACAGCUGAGAGGAAAAUGGAAGAAACGGAGAUACUUUUAGUGAAGCAGAAUAAACCACUGAACAGGAAAAAUGAGGAAGCUGUGAGUACCAGUGGAAGGAACGAGCCAGGAAGAGGGACUGGAACCAUCUCAGAAGCCAUGCCCCUCAGGCUGGAACUUGCCCUGUCUCCUCGCAGAUGAGGUAGGAGGCUCAGCACGGGCUGGUGGGAGCAGCCCACAGCAGCAGUGAGGGUCAGUGGGCCUGUGAGUUAAGAAGAAGGUGGCACAGAGCGAGGGUCUCUGGAUCCUGACUGUUUGACUUUUCCAUGAUUAGGAUAAGUAGCCAGGGCUUGGCUAGUUGGAGAGUUACUCGAACCUCAGGUGACAGUUGUAAGGCAGCACAUAGUGAAAAAGAGUCCUAGCCUGGGAAAGUCCAAAACCUUAGGUCUGGUUUCAGUUCACUCACCUAUCUCUGUGACAUAGCAAAGUCUGUUAAUUUCUCUAAUUUUCUGAUUAGUAGUAUAGUUGCAGGAAUGAAAUAAAAAUGGUCCUGAUUACUCAGAGAUUCAUUUACUGAUUACUCUUUUUGUGACCUGAAUAAAGAGUACAACAUCUCUCAAAAGGUAACAAUAUGAUGUUUCAGGAAAUUAGAGAAGUUAAGAGACUUUGCUGUAUUUACUAUACAGAUAGUUGACUGACAGCUGAGCCCGGACCCAAGAUUCAUUUAUAAAAUGAAGGAGUUGAGAAGUACAUACUCUGAGGUUUAUCCUAAAUAAACUGAAGUCUAGGCAAGUGGCUGAGCUAGGUUUGCCAUGAAUCAAUCUGCUGAGUAUAUUUCUUGGUAACUAGUUCAUCUUUCCUUAAUUCAGUCAACAAAUAUGAUAUCAAGUUUAGUAAGAUGAUGACAGUUGUCAUGUAAUACUCCAUCUGGAAGAUUGUAUGCUUCUCAGCUUCCCUAACUUUUCUUAAUCUACCUUAAGCUUCCUUUCUGAAAGGUUUCUGUCUUUCCUAACAGUCUCUUCUUUCCGCCAGCUACCUCUUGUGUUUAAGAAUUAAAGGAAGAUGAGCUAGGAAUCAAGAAAUACGCAGAACUGAUUCCUGUCACUGGCGCCACCCUGCCACUUGCCCAGAGCUGUGGUAUAAAUUUUUUUAAUAGGCUGAAAUAAAAAUAUGAAUAGCAUUUUGGUAUUAAGCAUUAAAUUGAUAAAGGCUAUGAGAUACACCUGCUCUCAACCAUGUUAAUUUUUUAUUAUUGGUAUUAAUAAAUUAUUACUUACUAACAUAUUAACAAGAAUUGCAUUGAGAAACAAAGCAUCCACAGGCCAAAUCUUCUGAAUUUCAAAUGUUUAUAUUAAUGCGUUGUAUUCUAGAAAAGUAGAAUUGUCUUAAGUAGCUUUGUAAUAUAAAGUCAUCUAUCAGCCCAUUACACCUAUUAGAAUGUUUUAACCUUUAUUUCCCACUUUUUUGUUUCUAGACUGAGUGUACUUGGUCUGGUAUUUGUGGCAUAACUUACGGAACACAUAAGAAUGAUACAGAUACUAUUUAAUGAUGACCUAAUACAAGCUUAGAUAGCUAAGGUGAAAGCUUCUAUGGCCUUAACAUUUUCCUCUUGAAGAAUGUAUUUUCUGUAAUAAAAUACAGUGGCUACUUGAAAUCUAUAAACUUAUGUGAGGUCUGGAUAAAUCUGAGCAACUUUCUUCUUUGUGCUCCAGGAACCUACGCACUAUAUAUAUAAAUAAAGCUUAAGUAAACAUCACUGCAAAAAAAAAAAAAAAAAA